GGCCCCGUGGUGUAGUGGUAGCAUACUUGUAAGGUGAAUUGUUCAGCCGUGUAACGUCUGCUAACAGCCCGAUAGGCUUUGGGAUAUUGUAAAUGCAACAAUCAUAAUGCAAGUGGUCCUGGAUUCGAAUUCCAGCGGGGCCC